AUGUUACUGGAAAACGAAGAAAAAAUUAUAUAAGCUAUUAGAAACAAUAUACAAUUGUAAAUGUAAAGUUGUGUAAUUUGAUUCUUAAUAAGCAUGCAUAUAUACCGUUUGGAUAUGAAGAAUUAAAAAGCAUAUAGAGCUGUGCACUUAGUUGAGGUAAGAGUUUAGAUGAUGGGAAUCCAUGCUGAUAAUUUGUUGAGGAAAACAAAACUUUAGUUUGAUGUUCAAGCAGAUGGGAACAGACAGAAAGAACAAAAGUUAAAAACUAUUUAAAAGAAUAACAAAGAUAAUUUUUGUAGUACAUGGAAAAUAUAAACUUGUUUGAAUAAAAAGCCUAAGAUGAAAGGGUCAUAUUACGUACUUGAAGUACAAAUGGUUUUAAAGGCUGUACAUUGAAGCUGCAAAAAACAA
rnacentral:sRNA from 1 species